AAAAAAUGACACACACUGGCAUCAUUUCUGUUUGUCUUUUCUCUCUCUCUCUUUUCUUUUCUUUUCAU
rnacentral:ribozyme from 1 species